rnacentral:ncRNA from 1 species
UUUAAAGUUUUAUUCUUUCUUAAGCUUUGUAAUAUUAUAAAAAGUGUGAUAUAAAGGGUUAUAAGCAAAUGGUUUAAAGUAAAUAGUAAAUAGUAAAUAGUAAGUUGUGGGGUUAAGGUAAAGUUAAUUAAAUUUUAUAGGAAGGAGUUGUUAAAGGAGAGCUAAAAUUAAAAUAAAAGAGAAAUUACUUAAAGAACGGAAAUAAAAAUUGACCUAUAUGUACGUUAAUAUAUAUAUAUAUAUAUAUAAUGUUAUAAACAAAUAGAUAUAUGUAAAUAUUUAUUUUUCAUAAUUAUUCUAGAUAUGAUAUAGUACCUGUAAUAGAAUAAUAAUUCUAGUCUCUUUAAAUCUGAAGUAAUUCCAGCGGUCCUUUUGCUUUUCUCCGUUAGAGAGAAGGUGGCUGGAAAGACAGCUUGGAAUUACUUCAAAGUCAUUAGAUCCAUUAAAGUGAGUAAUUUAAUAAAUUUUAUAUAGAUUUAAGUAAAAAAUAAAAAUUAUAGUUUAUAAUAAAUAAAAUCUCAGCAUAAAUCAUUAGACAAUACAUGUAAAUGUGAUCUGGUAAUAGUUAGAAACCUGAUUAAAUAUUGUGCCAGCAGUCGCGGUUAGACUUUAGGGUUGAGUGAAAGUUAUUGGUUUAUUAGUUAAGAGGGGAUUAUUAUAGAUUUAAAAAAAUAAAAAGUGAAAUUAGAUUAUUUUUUAUAAAUUAAAUUAAUUUAAACUGAAGCUAGAAAAUUUCUAGGCCUAAACUAGGAUUAGAUACCCUAUUAUACUGGAGUUUAAUAAUAUAACUUGAACAUUAAUAGUUAUAAUCUAAAAAUUUGAAGAAUUUGGCGGUGGUUUAGUCUUGUCAGAGGAACCUGUUUUAUAAUCGAUACACCACGAAAAUCUUACUUAUUUUUGUUAAAUCAGCUUGUAUACCAUCAUUAUCAGAUAAUUUUUAAAGAAAUAUUAUUGAUAUUUUAAUUAUAAUUAAAAUUAGAUCAAGGUGCAGCCGAUAAAUAAGUUUAAAUGGGUUACAAUAAUCUUAAAUUAUAUGGAAUGAUUUUUUAAAUAAGGUCAAAAAAGAGGAUUUGAUUGUAAUAAAAGCUUAAUAUGCUUAAAAGAUAAAAGCUCUAAAUCAUGUACAUAUCGCCCGUCGCUUUCAUUUAGAGAUGAAAUAAGUCGUAACAUAGUAGGCUCACUGGAAAGUAAGCCUGGAUUAAU